rnacentral:rRNA from 1 species
CCCUAGUAACUGCGAGUGAAGCGGGAAAAGCUCAAAUUUAAAAUCUGGCGGUUUACCGUCCGAGUUGUAAUCUAGAGAAGUGUUACCCGCGCUGGACCGUGUACAAGUCUCCUGGAAUGGAGCGUCAUAGAGGGUGAGAAUCCCGUCUUUGACACGGACUGCCAGGGCUUUGUGGUGCGCUCUCAAAGAGUCGAGUUGUUUGGGAAUGCAGCUCAAAAUGGGUGGUAAAUGCCAUCUAAAGCUAAAUAUUGGCGAGAGACCGAUAGCGAACAAGUACCGUGAGGGAAAGAUGAAAAGAACUUUGGAAAGAGAGUUAAACAGUACGUGAAAUUGCUGAAAGGGAAACGCUUGAAGUCAGUCGCGUUGGCCGGGAAUCAGCCUUGCUUUUGCUUGGUGUACUUUCUAGUCGACGGGUCAGCAUCAGUUUCGACCGUUGGAUAAAGGCUUUGGGAAUGUGGCUUCCUCGGAAGUGUUAUAGCCCAUGGUUGCAUACAACGGUUGGGACUGAGGAACUCAGCACGCCGCAAGGCCGGGGUUCGCCCACGUUCGUGCUUAGGAUGCUGGCAUAAUGGCUUUAAUCGACCCGUCUUGAAACACGGACCAAGGAGUCUAACAUGCCUGCGAGUGUUUGGGUGGAAAACCCGAGCGCGUAAUGAAAGUGAAAGUUGAGAUCCCUGUCGUGGGGAGCAUCGACGCCCGGACCAGACCUUCUGUGACGGAUCCGCGGUAGAGCAUGUAUGUUGGGACCCGAAAGAUGGUGAACUAUGCCUGAAUAGGGUGAAGCCAGAGGAAACUCUGGUGGAGGCUCGUAGCGAUUCUGACGUGCAAAUCGAUCGUCAAAUUUGGGUAUAGGGGC